UACGUAGGGACCAAGCGUUGUUCGGAUUUACUGGGCGUAAAGGGCGCGUAGGCGGACAGUUUAGUCAGAGGUGAAAGCCCAGGGCUCAACCUUGGAAUUGCCUUUGAUACUGGCUGUCUUGAGUACGGGAGAGGUGAGUGGAACUCCGAGUGUAGAGGUGAAAUUCGUAGAUAUUCGGAAGAACACCAGUGGCGAAGGCGACUCACUGGCCCGUUACUGACGCUGAGGCGCGAAAGCGUGGGGAGCAAACAGG
rnacentral:rRNA from 1 species